rnacentral:ncRNA from 1 species
AAUUUAAUAUUAUUUCCUGCGUAUAUCCUCGAUAAUAUGGUUCGAAAGUUUCUACCGGGUUGCCGUAAAUAACCUGACUAUGAAGGAAGUGAG